CCUACGGGUGGCAGCAGUGGGGAAUAUUGGACAAUGGGCGAAAGCCUGAUCCAGCCAUGCCGCGUGUGUGAAGAAGGCCUUCGGGUUGUAAAGCACUUCCAGUGGGGAAGAAAGCCUUGGGGCUAAUACCCUCGAGGAAGGACAUCACCCACAGAAGAAGCACCGGCUAACUCCGUGCCAGCAGCCGCGGUAAUACGGAGGGUGCGAGCGUUAAUCGGAAUUACUGGGCGUAAAGCGCGCGUAGGCGGUCUGAUAAGCCGGUUGUGAAAGCCCCGGGCUCAACCUGGGAACGGCAUCCGGAACUGUCAGGCUAGAGUGCAGGAGAGGAAGGUAGAAUUCCCGGUGUAGCGGUGAAAUGCGUAGAGAUCGGGAGGAAUACCAGUGGCGAAGGCGGCCUUCUGGACUGACACUGACGCUGAGGUGCGAAAGCGUGGGUAGCAAACAGGAUUAGAUACCCUGGUAGUC
rnacentral:rRNA from 1 species